AUGUCCCACCACUGCACGAGCCAAACACCUUUUUCCUUAGCAGCAGUACACUGUAUACAUGCUCACUCUCCAUGGCCCAGAAUCUUGGUACUGUGUCUAGGAUUCGGCCUCAUUAUGUUCGCAGCUAACUGCAAGGCAGAUACUUCACCGCUGCCUCAUGAGGUGCCACCCGGUUCAGAGGUCACGUUUGACAUUGAAUCAGUGGCAGUGAUCAACAACAUCAGGGUGCUUAAACCCGUGACCCCACGGUUAGAUCCAAUUCUGCCACCAGUGAUGACCACAUCUGGCGUACCACCAUAAAUGGAUCCAUGAACAGGCAGACUACCACCAUCACUGACGCUUGACCUCUGCAAAGGAUUCAGAAUACUGUUCUGUUUUCAGACGACUCCCACAGAACGCUGCAGUGAAAGCUUCGUAAUUCCGGGAAGGAUGAGGUCAAGACACCUUUUCUGGGAAAUAGUUUUUUUUAUUUCUAAACUUCUGCUGAAAAACAGCAGCAAUAAACCGUGAAAUCAUGUUACUUUCCGAAGUGUACUCCUUUGGUCGUCUUUCUGUCAGAAUUCCAAAUAUCACACCAGAACGUCCCAAGCCACUUGACCUGCAGCUGAAUCAGUUGGUGACAUGCGUGGAUACUCACAACUCACGGUUAUUGUUUGAAAUGCAGAUAGGGCCAGCUGCCAUUUGCCAUGGAAAUGCCGUUCCUCUUGCCCAAGCUUGAGAUUACCCUGAAUGAAGACCUGUAACUGCUUGGUGGUGGAUGAUGUUUUUUUUCAAAGCCUGAGCCCAAUCUGAAGAAUGCCUGGAUCAAGAGCUUCUUGAGCUGCUUUUCUCAACCAGCUUUCCCUAACUGAAGAGAUCCUACUUCUCCCAGAGCAGAUCUUUUUUUUUUUUUUCAACUGGCACUGACACAGCCCCUUGAAUUGGUAAGCAUAUUUAAAGUCAACAUUUUCUUUUCUGUUUCUACAUGUUUUGCGGUAAAGCUAGAGUCUAUGCAUUUUGAUACCUGUGUGGAAUCAGUCAAAUUUCUUUUGCAUAUCCGUCUAGCCCCACCACAGAAUCUUCGUAGCUGGAAGCUUCGGUGAGAGGUUAAACGAGGAGGGUAAGUUAAGAGAUUCACGCCCGGAGCGACAACAGACAGGUGUGAGAUUAAGACACAUUGCAUCAGAGCAGACAGAGAUACCCCGGGUUUCUUGUGGCAGGGGUGGUGCUGACGCGUGAGGCUCCCACUAGAUUAGCUGUGCCUCCGGCUUCCACCCACCUCCACCUCUCCAAAUCAGAUCAGUGCAUCUCCGCCCGCGACGGAGAAACAGCCUCUCUCCUUUUCAUCCCUCUCCGGCGCUAUUGAUUUUAGUGUGUUGACCUGCUUGAGGAUCCAGUACCGG
rnacentral:lncRNA from 1 species